AGUUCGGAUCGCAGGCUGCAACCCGCCUGCGUGAAGUCGGAAUCGCUAGUAAUCGCGGAUCAGCAUGCCGCGGUGAAUACGUUCCCGGGCCUUGUACACACCGCCCGUCACACCAUGAGAGUCGGGAACACCCGAAGUCCGUAGCCUAACCGCAAGGAGGGCGCGGCCGAAGGUGGGUUCGAUAAUUGGGGUGAAGUCGUAACAAGGUAUC
rnacentral:rRNA from 1 species